GCCAUAGUUUCAGCCGCUCAGGUUCCCUUAGUGGAAGGCGGUGAAACGACAAAGCAGUGCCAGUCUUUGCUUUAUUUCUGCAUUUCUUCACAGCGCAGGAGUGAGGCAUAGUAUAACUAACUGCCUCAUCUUAAUAUUCUUGAAGUCUCUCCCUCCUGCCUUUCCUGGAUACUUUCAAGCACAGCAGAGAAGACAUCAUUUUCAACAGCAACAUGAAUGACUCAAACUCCUGAUCUAGCCUGAAAAAGAGCAGUGGACAGAGCUGAGGACGUGAUUUCUCGUCAUGUGGACUGAAGACUACGGUUUCUCUCCUGUGUGGAUUCUCUUACGGACACACAGGUAGGUGGCUCUGGGUGAAAGAUUUGCCGACAAGGUCUCCCUCCGGUGUGGGUUCGCAGGUGCACCAGGAGGUGGUCUCUAAGCAGGAACACCUUGCUGCAGUCGUUGCACUUAAAAGGCCUCUCAUCCACGUGUCUUACAAGGUCAACAUCCUUUAUAAAGCAAGCACAGCAAAUGUGACCUCAGUGUGAGAUUGUAAAUGAUCAGAUAAACCUUCUCUGGUCUCAAAUAUGUUUCCACAGCAAAUACUACCACAGGCUCUGUGAGCUGAGGUACUCUGGGGAACAGCAGCUCAUGUUUAGCUGCCACUCUUUUUCUUCUUUAUUUACAUGAGCAGCAGCAGAGCAGCACUUUGUUCCACAAAGUUGGAGGGAGCGGCCUCCGGCGUCGCUGUCAGCUCCAUUUCUUCCUCUUUGAUCUGCUGGAAUAACUGAUCUUGGCUCUGCUGCGGCUCCAUGUUGGGAUCCCACUCCUGCUGAGGGGGAAACAUCUCUUCUGAGACUUCAGAGACAUCUGUUAAACAUAAACUAAAAAGAAAACUAAACAAAGAACAUUUACUCAUUCAGAUUUAGUUUUUUUUACUCAAGCUCUGGAAUAAAAAUAGGUAUGUUUGUCCUCUCUUUCUGUCAGUCAUUCUUCAUUUUCUGACUCUCUGUUUUUAUUGGGAGGCUUACAGUAGAAAAGCCUAUUGGUGAAAUAAAGCUUGAACAACAACUUGAACAAUUUCCAGGAGAGAACGUGUUCUUCCUUUGGUUUGAAACACUUAAAUUAUAUUUAUCAAAAGUUAAACUUUUGACUUCUGAAACAUUGAAUGUUUUGAAUGAUUUGUUUUUCUUUAAGGUUAUGAAGAUAUUUCCAGUUAGGAUAUGAGACUCGUACUGGUUAUUGUCUGAUCUGCUUCCUCCAGAGUCCUGUUUGAAUGUUUCUUGUUGAUAAAAUCACUUUCCCCCCUA